rnacentral:misc_RNA from 1 species
UCGUAAAACAGAGGCACGAGGGCUGUCGCUGACUUUUUGUCGUGCACGCCCAAGUGCUCUCUCACAAUCCAUCUCACCCCUUUGUGCACCACCGCGUGGGUCCCUUCUUGGCUUGUUACAAGGGGGGCUCGCGUUUUCACACAAACUCAAAAGUAGUGUAGAAUGUCUUUUUUUGCGAUGACACGCAAUCAAUA